UAAAUUAAAAAUAAAUCAUUUUUAAUUUUUUACCCGUUUUUUCGUUUUUAAAUUUUAUGUAUUUUUUCUCAUAUUUUUUGUCCAAGCUGUAUUAAUUUCCCUUAAAAUAUUAAUAAAAUGGCAUUUUCAACACAAAAAGGCUUUCAACAUGUUCCCUUUCUAAACGAGUACCCUCAACCAUUAUGCCUUCCUAUUGAAGGAAUCAGGCUUAAAACUUACGCUAGCACCCGUGAUGAGCGAGCAUGGUGCAGGAGUGACACAAAAAAAGCCCAGUAUUUAAUUGAUUUGGUUACAUGUAGAUUGUAUGACGAUGAUGCUGAUGGAGAUGGAUUGCAUGAAAAAUCCACCCAAUGCACAAAAAAAUUAGGUGAGGAAGUUUUCCCAAGAAAGGAUGAAAUUCAUGACAAAAAAGAUCUUUUUGAUUCCAUCAAUGCGGAAAAGGAUGAUCUAAAAUCUCGACUUGCAGAAUCGCAAGAGAAUCUACAAAUUCUCAGAGAAGAAAAUAAGGCUUUAAAUGCAGCUCUACGAGAUGACCAUCAACCUGAUUUGUUUGUUGAUAUCAAGAGAAAAAUCUCUCAACUGCGAAUGUCAUCAAAAAUUGAUAAAAAUGAUGAAAAUGAAUUGUUAAAGAUGCUAGAUGGCUUGAAGAAAACUGAGAAAGCCUUUAGCGCCACUAAUAUUGAAAACAAAUAUCUGAGAAGAUCGAUUGAGAAGCUUUCACUUAAAAAAGACCUUGACAAAAUUCCGGUUGAGCCAGAAACGAAUACCGAUGUUGAUUAUCUUCAAAAGGAAGUUAACAAGUUGCGAAAAGAAUUAGCUCAGUUAAAACGUUUUGAAGAGAAAGCACUUAAAAAACAAACCGUUUCUAGAGGAAUCCAAAACUUGGAUCAGCAACAAGUUGCUAAAGAGCAAUUACAUAGCCUUAGGGCAGAGCGAAAUGCACUGAAAGAAAAAUGCGAAAGUUUUGCUUCGGUUGAAGGAAAAAUUAUCGAAUGGAAAAAUGAUUCUGAACAAUUCAAAAGCUUCCGCAAAAAAGCUUGUAUUGCUCUAAAGCAAAAAGAUGAGGAAAUUCACGACCUUCGUGAAAGAAUUCAGGAAGUUGAAUAUGAAUUCAAAGAAAUUAUUAAAUGCUUUAAGGCCAAAGAACAAGAAAGAGAUGCAGUUUGUUCAGCUUAUGAUUGUUUGAAGGAGGAAAAUCAACGUCUAAAAGAAGAAAUUUGCCGAUACAAUUGCGAUUUAAAAGCAAUCACAACACUUCAAAAUCAAAUUCAAUUACUGUCCAAUGAGCUUUGUGAAAAGAAUUGUGCUAUCGAACAAUAUGACAUGCAAUUUCAACAAUUAUUGGGUGUAAUCGAAGGUCUACAAACUAAAGCAGCUGUAGAUAUUCGCAACUUACAAGAUGUAGAUAGUCAAACCCAGAGCGAAAAUAUUGAAGAAUUAGCUGCUUCGACAAGGGCAACUCUUGAACAGAUCUCCAAAGAACUCGAACAGCGACAAGAGCUUGAAGCAGAUUUGGCUGAGAGCAUGGCCGAAUUGGAAACCAUUCGUCGUGAGACCGAAGAAAAAGAAAAGGCAGCCAUAGAAAUGUUAAAUACAAAAGAAAUUGAAAAUCAAGAGCUCAGAGAAAGCUUACAAAAGACUGCCAUAGCAGUCAAACAAAGCUUAGAACAAUUGAAUCUAGAAGUCCACCCUGAUGAGGAUUGUAUACAAGAAAUUUCUCGACUAAAUGAACUUAUAACUAAUUUAAAAUCCGAGUACGAGAAUGAAAUUGAGCUUUUAAAGAAAAAGUCUAAUGAUCUUUUGCAAGAUCUAGAAAGUGAAAAGAUCAACCAAUCCUCUGGGACGGAAAAGCUCACUGACCAGAUCAACAAUCUCAAUUUGGAAUUAACAUCUGAAAAGGACAAAAACCGAAAGCUCCUAAUUGAAAACGAAGAUUUAAAUAAUGACCUGAAAUAUUGCCAAAAUAAAGUAAAAGCUCAACAAGAUGAAAUCAAAAGAUUGGAUGAAAAAACUACAGAACUGUUGUGUUCUUCGGAAGCAGGUCUUAAAGAAGUCGGAAAAUUAGUAAAGGAUAUCAGCAACGUCCAGGACCGGAAUGAAAAUCUCGAAUCGGUCCUGGACGCUGUUGAUUAUUCAGAGAAGUAUAAACAGGAAAUAGAUGAUCUUAAAAAGUUAUUAGAAGAUAAGACGAAGAAGAAUAAAAGCUGCGAAAAUCAGAAUAAGCUUUUACAAAAAGAACUAGAUGAUUCCAAAGAGAUCCUUACUUCACAGAAAACAGCUAUGGACAAUAUGAAAAAAGACUUGGAACAAGCCAAGGAAAUGGCAAAAGAAGCAGUGAAAGCUAGAGAACUAGUCGAAUCCAAAAAAGAUAUUAGUUCACCGAAGCCAAUGAAAACUAGUGAACUAGUCGAACCCAAAAAAGAACUUAGUUCACCAAAGCUAGUUAAAGCUACUGAACUGGCCGAAUCCAAACAAAUACGUAGUUCACCGAAACCAGUGAAAGUUACCAAUGAUGACACUUUUAGGGCUGUUGACAAGGGGUCAAACGAAUUGGAGACAGAAGAUUCCAAACGAAAAACUGUCUCAAAAACGUCUGAUGCUUUGGCACAACCCUCAUCGUCGAGAGGAAAGAAAAGCUCUACAAAGUUAACACAACUUCAAAAACUUCACGAGGCUACACGUAACGCUGAACGUAUUUACUAUGAGAAAGAAAUCGAAGGUCAUCGAAUGUCGAAUGAACUUCUUAAAAGUUCCCUCACAAAACUUACAUCAAAAGUUCAAACCACAUCAACUGCUGAUUUUGAAAAAGAAAUGCGUUCGGUUCUUGAUAAUUUCGCUUUAGAAAUAUGUAAGUGGCGUUCUGAGAAAAAUUUCAAGAAACUUACAAAACUUCAAGAAAUUUGCAAGAGAAUUUUAGAAUACGGUAUUUAUUGUUUAACAUAUAAGGAUCUUGUGUAUUUGCAUCAAAGAAUGUCUGAAGCUGCUUUAAGACUUAAACCUGAUUGUCUAUCUUCAAGUACAAGUAGUUCACAUAGGGAACUUUUGUGUUGCAAAUGCUCUGGAAAAAUUUGUGAAGUUCCUAUUAUUCCGAUGGAGAAUAAGAUGCUUUUAGAAAAAAUGUUAAAUUUAGAACGUGAAAUUCAAAGUGCAAGAGAAGAUCUGCGAAAAAGUAAAGAAGAAAAAGAAACAUGUGUUUCUGAACUUGAGCAAUCUGAUCCUGAUACAUUGAGAGCUAUGCCUAAACAAAUCAGUCUUGCGGCUAGAAAGAGUUGUUCAAGACCAAAAUCUUCUCGUGUUUCUUAUAAAAUAAAAGAGGAAGAAUUUCAAAUUCCAACCAAGGAUAGAUGUUGAUAUUGAAAUGUUGGAAAACAUUUUAUUUUGUAUUUUUCUAUAUUUGAUUAUAAAACAAAUACAAAUGAGCAUUGAAAAACCACUGAGCUGUUUCUAAGUGAUUCUAUUUGCCACAAAACAGGUUCUAAUUUCGACUAUUUGGGAUAAGGCACAAUAAACUCCCGUAAUAAUUUUUUUGGGAGAAGGACUCAAAUUGAAUGAUUU